AUUGAACGCUGGCGGCAGGCCUAACACAUGCAAGUCGAGCGGAUGAAGGGAGCUUGCUCUUGGAUUCAGCUGCGGACGGGUGAGUAAUGCCUAGGAAUCUGCCUGGUAGUGGGGGAUAACGUCCGGAAACGGGCGCUAAUACCGCAUACGUCCUGAGGGAGAAAGGGGGGGAUCUUCGGACCUCACGCUAUCAGAUGAGCCUAGGUCGGAGUAGCUAGUUGGUGGGGUAAAGGCCUACCAAGGCGACGAUCCGUAACUGGUCUGAGAGGAUGAUCAGUCACACUGGAACUGAGACACGGUCCAGACUCCUACGGGAGGCAGCAGUAGGGAAUAUUGGACAAUGGGCGAAAGCCUGAUCCAGCCAUGCCGCGUGUGUGAAGAAGGUCUUCGGAUUGUAAAGCACUUUAAGUUGGGAGGAAGGGAAGUAAGUUAAUACCUUGCUGUUUUGACGUUACCAACAGAAUAAGCACCGGCUAACUUCGUG
rnacentral:rRNA from 1 species